CUCCCCGAAAGCUAUUUAGGUAGCGCCUCGUGAACUCAUCUUCGGGGGUAGAGCACUGUUUCGACUAGGGGGUCAUCCCGACUUACCAACUCGAUGCAAACUGCGAAUACCGAAGAAUGUUAUCACGGGAGACACACGGCGGGUGCUAACGUCCGUCGUGAAGAGGGAAACAACCCAGACCGCCAGCUAAGGUCCCAAAGUCAUGGUUAAGUGGGAAACGAAGUGGGAAGGCUCAGACAGCCAGGAUGUUGGCUUAGAAGCAGCCAUCAUUUAAAGAAAGCGUAAUAGCUCACUGGUCGAGUCGGCCCGCGCGGAAGAUGUAACGGGGCUAAACCAU
rnacentral:rRNA from 1 species